rnacentral:rRNA from 1 species
UACAGAGGGUGCGAGCGUUAAUCGGAAUUACUGGGCGUAAAGCGCACGUAGGUGGUUAUUUAAGUUAGAUGUGAAAUACCAGGGCUUAACCUUGGAUGGUCAUUUAAUACUGGGUAGCUAGAGUACAGUAGAGGGAAGUGGAAUUUCCGGUGUAGCGGUGAAAUGCGUAGAUAUCGGAAGGAACAUCAGUGGCGAAGGCGGCUUUCUGGACUGAUACUGACACUGAGGUGCGAAAGCGUGGGGAGCAAACAGG